CACUUCAUGAAAGGUGGGGUUGACUCUCUUUCCUUAACUCAUGCCGCUGUGCCUUUUUAUUUGUUUCACAAUUGUGUGAGUUGAGUACAGAGUGUCAGUCCAGCCCCGCAUCACCCCAU
rnacentral:precursor_RNA from 10 species